rfam:Enterospora canceri strain GB1 scaffold_19, whole genome shotgun sequence.
GUCCGGGUGGCCUAAUGGUAAGGCAUAGCUCUCCUAAAGCUGGGAUUGCGGGUUCAACUCCCGCCUCGGAUG